GAACAACAGUACUACGUGAGCAGGACUCGAAUUUGGGUCAGUCGAUCCUAAGAUACUGGCUAAUAUAUUGAACCAUCGCGAAGGAAAGGUUUCUCUCUUCUUGAACAUCAAGGGGAGUCAAGGUAAAUGCUCCGUUAUGCGAACACGGAGAUCACGGCCCUUUGAGUCGUUUGCUCGCUAACGCAUUCGAUCUUGGUUACGUCGCUAAGAGACUGAGCUAGAGUUCUCUUAUUAAGAAAAGUACAUCAUAGAACUGGCUUAUAUAUUGUACUACUGUAUGAGGAAAGUUUCUUCAUUAGCAGAGACCAAAACGAAUCAAGGUUGAUAUUCUCUUAUGCAGACACUUUUAUUACGGCCCUUUGAGUCGUUUGCUCGCUAACGCGUUCGAACUUGGUUGCGUCGUUAAGAGACUGAGCCAGAGUUCUCUUCUCUAGUUAAGAAACGGAUGCUCUAGAGUCGAUUCAGUAGGGGUGUUGUUUCCGUAAAGCAUCGCGGUUUCUGUGAUAUCUUGUGCUUUCUGGACGAGCCAUGAAAGAUCAAAGAAGGCUACUAAUCCGUGCUGCAUCGUACCAAUAUCCGCAUCACUUUUCC
rnacentral:ncRNA from 1 species